rfam:Perkinsus marinus ATCC 50983 gcontig_1104296638858, whole genome shotgun sequence.
GGGCGUGUGGUGUAGUGGUAUCACGUCUGCUUUGCAUGCAGAAGGCCCCGAGUUCGAACCUCGGCACGUCCA